UAGGGAAUAUUGGUAAUCUGGGAAAACGGGAACCAGCAACGCCGCGUGCGCGAUGAAGGCCUUCGGGUUGUAAAGCGAUUUUUGAGAGGAUGAGGAAGGACAGUACUCUUAGAAUAAGCCUCGGCUAACUACGUGCCAGCAGCCGCGGUAAAACGUAGGAGGCGAGCGUUAUCCGGAUUUACUGGGCGUAAAGCGUGUGUAGGCGGUUUGAUAAGUUGGAUGUGAAAGCUCCUGGCUUAACUGGGAGAGGGCGUUCAAAACUAGCAGACUUGAGAGUGGUAGAGGGAGGUGGAAGUCCGCAUGUAGUGGUGAAAUGCGUAGAUAUGCGGAGGAACACCAGUGGCGAAAGCGGCCUCCUGGCCCAUUUCUGACGCUCAGACACGAAAGCUAAGGUAGCAAACG
rnacentral:rRNA from 1 species